GAUGAACGCUGGCGGCGUGCCUAAUACAUGCAAGUCGAGCGAACAGACGAGGAGCUUGCUCCUCUGACGUUAGCGGCGGACGGGUGAGUAACACGUGGAUAACCUACCUAUAAGACUGGGAUAACUUCGGGAAACCGGAGCUAAUACCGGAUAAUAUAUUGAACCGCAUGGUUCAAUAGUGAAAGACGGUUUUGCUGUCACUUAUAGAUGGAUCCGCGCCGCAUUAGCUAGUUGGUAAGGUAACGGCUUACCAAGGCAACGAUGCGUAGCCGACCUGAGAGGGUGAUAGGCAACACUGGAACUGAGACACGGUCCAGACUCCUACGGGAGGCAGCAGUAGGGAAUCUUCCGCAAUGGGCGAAAGCCUGACGGAGCAACGCAGCGUGAGUGAUGAAGGUCUUCGGAUCGUAAAACUCUGUUAUUAGGGAAGAACAAAUGUGUAAGUAACUAUGCACGUCUUGACGGUACCUAAUCAGAAAGCCACGGCUAACUACGUG
rnacentral:rRNA from 1 species